CAGCGUCCUCAGCGGACGACCCAGCCCGCAGCCAGUACCAUACCGCACCAUCGCUGAGCCCCAAAUCGGUAGCCUGUGCUCGGGUUGGGGGGGCGGUGCCGGACCAAGCCCCAGGGGAGAGCCCAGCGCCGCUCGACCGCACUGACCUGAGGCGCCCGCGGGACAGGAAGUGGCUGCCGCGAGAGGACUUUGGAGUGUGGGUACACUGGAAAGAGCUGCAUCAGCUAUGCUGAACUAUGAGGUAGAGGCAGUUUGCUGAGGAUGGAAAACUACAAGCCAGGAUGACCGUGACAUUGCCACACUGGACUUGGACUGCCCAAACCCAUAUCUUUAUAGAAAUAUCCAUGGACAGUGUUGGAGCAUUUGACCAGACCCAUGGUGAGCUCAUAAUUCCCUAAUGAAGACUUAUGCAUAAAGAAGUGUGUGGUAAGGGCUGAGAUGGUCCAGUGCCCAAAGAAGAGGAAGGAGGAGGAAAUGUUGCACUGCAGUAACCAAGAAGCUCAUGACCGUUAUGGAUUACAACAAGGAAGUCACUGGUCACUCAUCCUACAUACCCAUGAGCAUCUUUCCAAUUGGAGGUUCUCCCUGGUGAGAGAUGAAGGAGUCGCUUCACAGCCCCCUGGCUGAUUACCUAAUCUGUGUGUCCCUCUGUGCUGAGAGUCUUCCCUGGGAUUUCUGUGCCUCAUUAGCGACACCACAAUCAUCAGCAACAGCCACAACAGCAGCCUUGAUAAUAAGUGAGGCUUGGAGCUGCUGCAUUUCAGGCGUCACACUCAAUCCUGGAAAUGUAUGAUUUCAUCUAAGUAUCUCUGAGCCCUGCAAGGCCUUACACCCACUUCACAGACAAGGACAUGCAGCCGGGAGGCCAAGAGACUUGUUUGGAGGUUAAGCAGAGAUGUGAAGCCCAGUCUGUGACCCUGACAUCUCUGCUCUUCCCCUCCCCCUGCGCCCCAGAGCACUGCCUCCUGUGGCCAUCCUUCCCGGGACAGCCUAUUUCAAACCCCUGCGGUCAUGGCCUUCCGGGCUGCCUCUGCCCUAUCUUGGUCCUGUGAAUAUAUCGACCUUGUGCAGGCUGUGUGCUUCGCAGGCUCCCCCAAACUUCCCAAACGUUGUUUUUUAUCUUUCUUACAGCCAGAGGCAUGAGCCCCACUCUGCUAAGAAAGCAAAAUCUUAGAAGCAAAGAAAACUCCAACACUAUCUGUCUUUGGAGAUUGGUGUGAAUCCUGAGAUUUACUGCCUGCUAAGGAAAGCCACUUCGGGCCUUCAGUGCCAGGUGAACAGUGCCGGUCACGCUGCCCAGUGUGGAGCAGCACUGCCACCGUGUGGCUGAAUGGCUGCACCUGGCCAGCUGCAGUGUGGGGAAAGGCCAGGGAAGGUGCAUCAUCCGUGGUUCUUGCAUUUUUCUUGUGUUUACUUUAUGUUUAUUGAGUACCUACUGUAUGCCAUGUACUGUAUAAUUGACACUGCUGCUGAGAUUGAUCAUCUGGAUAGUGCACUAAAAUGUUAACAUUUAGUUCUAGAGAUGGUUAACACUGAUUAAUCAUUUGUUUGGGGUACUUGAUUACUCAUCUAGGGGUGACUCAGAAAUUGAUAAAGACACAUUAGCUUCGUGCAGUGGAGUUUUCUUUGCUUCUAAGAUUUGGGGAGACAGCAGGUCCGUAGAGAAUUCAGACUGCACAAUUACUUGCUGUCCUGACAGAGGGUCCACCUCAAUUACUGUGAAAGGAUGGAGAGCUGUAUUUUUAUGAAUACAUUUUCUUUCUUUUAUAAAAUAGUGUAAUACUGUAUUAAAAGCAUAUUAUGGAAACUUAGAAA